UUGCUUCGGCAGCACAUAUACUAGAAUUGGAAUGAUACAAAGAUUAGCACGUCUCUGCACAAGCAUGACACACAAAUUCAUGAAGUGUUCCAUAUUAAA
rnacentral:snRNA from 1 species